CGACGAUUCAAAAACAUGAAAACCCAUUAUAAAAGAGCACAGCAAAGGAAGUGGAGGCGAUUGUGAGGGCUAAGGGUGCAGUCCCAGCAACCAUUGGGAUUCUUGAGGGCAGGAUUCAUGUGGGCCUUUCUUCAGAUGAACUGGACUUCCUGGCACAAAGCAAAACAGCACUAAAAGUGUCCAGAAGCGAUCUACCUUAUGUCAUCAGCAAGGGUUUGUCGGGUGGCACAACUGUCUCCAGCACAAUGAUUGCGGCUCACAGGGCUGGGAUUCCUGUCUUUGUAAUUUUUGUAGGCAUUGGAGGAGUACAUAGAGAUGG